GAGGAUAUAUAUAUAUAUAUAUAUCUAUUGUCUACAUUUUCUCUUUCCUGUCUGUUUCCCUUUUUCAUAGAAUAGUCGAAAUUCGAAAUUGAAGUCAAGUCAAGAGGUUGAAGGAAACAGACAUCGCUGCUACGAAUAGAACUAAAAAGAAAAAUAGUCGAAGGCGAAACACGUGUCUAUUAUUCGAAAAAAAUAAAUUAAUACACGUAAUAAUAG
rnacentral:ribozyme from 1 species